rnacentral:tRNA from 1 species
GCUGCGUGAAACCUGUCUUGUAAACAGGUGGUUAGGGGUUCGAGUCCCCUCGUCGGCU